UAUCAGACCAGGAGCAGAGAAUUUAUAAUAUGUGCUUUAUAGCAAAAUGUAUUAAAUUGUGGUUAAAAUUUAUAGCUCAUAUGUAGCUGCUGCCAAUAAGAAGGCUCAGAAUUGUUCUGUGGAUUAAUUUUUACAUCCUGUUUUCUGUCACUUUUACCAAUCUUCUUGGCCUCAUGUACAAUAAUGUAAAGCCAAUUUGAUGAAAUGGUUCAGGUUGUAGCAGUCUAUAAAUUGUCGGUACAUUCAGCUCUUCUAGGUGAGCAAUACUGCUGCUAUUUUUCUAGAAAUAGCAAUCAUUUAAAAAUGCCAAAUAGCUAACUGCUACCAACUCUUUCUUGUAUCUUGUCUCUUUAGAGAAGGAAAUUUUUGUGUGCCAGUAAUCAUCAAAGAGGUGUUUUAUAAGAGUGUUGAUGUUCAGAAGUUCAUGAAAGUAUUUUAUCCGUAUAAUUUGCUAGUGAGCUAAAACAAUAUAAUUUAUGUAAAUCUUUAUAUGUACAAAAUAUAUAGUCUGUUGUACUUGAGUAAUUUGGUCUAUGGAAUUUUAAAUGCCUUCAUUUAGCAGUAAUAUUCACAUUUUUAUUUUAGACAGUUAAGUUCAUGUGUUUGAUUUUGUCAUGUCAGCAUAAAUGAGAAAAAGAAGUGGAUCAUGCAGCUAAUGAGUAACCAACAUUUUGUAAAGUUUUAAAGUUUUAGCAAACAACAUUAUUCCAUCUCAUUUAAAGGUUAAAAAAGAAGAGACAACUCUAGCCAAAGUAGAAAUUUAUAUUCUACACGUCCAAACUGUCUCCUAGCAGCUUUUGGACUAUAUAUCACUUGAUGUUAAAGUAUCUUUUAUUUGUAAUAAAUAUUCAAAUUUCUAUUUAGAAGCUCUAAUGUAUACCUAGAUUAAAUCAAAUCACAGUUUUAUGCUUUUAAAAUAUAUGUAUUUCAAACUGUAUAUUUUAAUUUCUGAGUGCAUGUUAUAUAGUAUUUAAUACUUCAGAUGUCUUGGCAAAUUCAAUAUAAGUAUUUAUUCCCACAAGCGAUAUAUGGGAUAUCUCUUAAAAAUUAUGAAUAUGUACCAUUUCCUUCAAAGUCAUCCUAGCCUAUGCUGUAUCAAAAGUAUUGUAUAUUUUAUGGAGAUUUAGUGAUAUACAUGUAAAUGUUUUUUAAGUUAUUUUAUUGAAGUUCAAUCUUUACAUAAAAUUAAAAUCUUUUUUU
rnacentral:lncRNA from 1 species